rnacentral:rRNA from 1 species
UUCCGGUUGAUCCCGCCGGAGGUUACUGCUUUUGGUGUUCGACUAAGCCAUGCAAGUCAUAUGUUCCUCGUGAACAUGGCAUACUGCUCAGUAACACGUGGAUAACCUGCCCUUGGGUCUGGGAUAACCCCGGGAAACUGGGGAUAAUACCGGAUAACGCAUAUGUGCUGGAAUGCUUUAUGCGUAAAACGGAUUCGUCCGCCCAAGGAUGGGUCUGCGGCCUAUCAUGUAGUAGUGGGUGUAAUGUACCUACUAUCCAACAACGGGUACGGGUUGUGAGAGCAAGAGCCCGGAGAUGGAUUCUGAGACAUGAAUCCAGGCCCUACGGGGCGCAGCAGGCGCGAAAACUUUACAAUGCGGGAAACCGUGAUAAGGGAACACCGAGAGCCAGCAUCAUAUGCUGGCUGUCCAGAUGUGUAAACUACAUCUGUUAGCAAGGGCCGGGCAAGACCGGUGCCUGCCGCCGCGGUAACACCGGCGGCCCGAGUGGUGACCGUUAUUAUUGGGU